AAAUGACUGUUUUCCUUCUCUCUUAGGAAUAUCAUUCAUCCAGAGUGUUUAAUUUGUGGAAAGAAGAUAGUUGCAGAUGAUGCAAUUUUUAAUUUUGGCCCUGCCAACUCAUUGCUGCUGAACCUGAACAGAUGGGAGAAUUCAUUUCCAAAGCACUUUGUGCCCCAUUCACUUGUUUUGG